UGAGGAAUAUUGGUCAAUGGGCGCAAGCCUGAACCAGCCAUCCCGCGUGCAGGAAGACGGCUCUAUGGGUUGUAAACUGCUUUUCCAGGGAGAGAAACUUGCGUACGCGUUGCGCAAUUGACGGUACCCUGGGAAUAAGCAUCGGCUAACUCCGUGCCAGCAGCCGCGGUAAUACGGAGGAUGCGAGCGUUAUCCGGAUUCAUUGGGUUUAAAGGGUGCGUAGGCGGACUAUUAAGUCAGUGGUGAAAUCCUGCAGCUUAACUGCAGAACUGCCAUUGAUACUGAUAGCCUUGAGUUUGGUUAAGGUAGGCGGAAUGUGUAAUGUAGCUGUGAAAUGCGUAGAUAUUACACAGAACACCAAUUGCGUAGGCAGCUUACUGAGCCGACACUGGCGCUGUGGCACUAAAGCGUGGGGGUCGAACA
rnacentral:rRNA from 1 species